rnacentral:rRNA from 1 species
AACGAACGAUGGCGGCAUGCCUAACACAUGCAAGUCGAACGAGACCUUCGGGUCUAGUGGCGCACGGGUGCGUAACGCGUGGGAACCUGCCCUUAGGUUCGGAAUAACUCCCCGAAAGGGGUGCUAAUACCGGAUAAUGUCUUCGGACCAAAGAUUUAUCGCCUUUGGAUGGGCCCGCGUUGGAUUAGCUAGUUGGUAGGGUAAAAGCCUACCAAGGCGACGAUCCAUAGCUGGUCUGAGAGGAUGAUCAGCCACACUGGGACUGAGACACGGCCCAGACUCCUACGGGAAGCAGCAGUGGGGAAUAUUGGACAAUGGGCGAAAGCCUGAUCCAGCAAUGCCGCGUGAGUGAUGAAGGCCUUAGGGUUGUAAAGCUCUUUUACCCGGGAUGAUAAUGACAGUACCGGGAGAAUAAGCUCCGGCUAACUCCGUG